rnacentral:rRNA from 1 species
GAUGAACGCUAGCGGCAGGCCUAAUACAUGCAAGUCGAACGAUAGAAGAGGGCUUGCUCUCUUCGAAAGUGGCGCACGGGUGCGUAACGCGUAUGCAACCUACCUUAAGCAGGGGGAUAGCCCGAAGAAAUUCGGAUUAACACCGCAUAAAAUCACAGUACAGCAUUGUACAAUGAUCAAAUAUUUAUAGGAUUAAGAUGGGCAUGCGUGACAUUAGCUAGUUGGCGGGGUAACGGCCCACCAAGGCGACGAUGUCUAGGGGAUCUGAGAGGAUGACCCCCCACACUGGUACUGAGACACGGACCAGACUCCUACGGGAGGCAGCAGUAAGGAAUAUUGGUCAAUGGAGGCAACUCUGAACCAGCCAUGCCGCGUGCAGGAAGACGGCCCUCUGGGUUGUAAACUGCUUUUAUUCGGGAAUAAACCUCAUUAUGUAUAGUGAGCUGAAUGUACCGGAGGAAUAAGGAUCGGCUAACUCCGUGCCAGCCGCCGCGGUAA